rnacentral:misc_RNA from 1 species
GUUCGUUCCGGCCGCCGUCGCCAUACUUGUGACGGGCCGUGUUUCAGAACAUGAAAACUGGUUCAUGCGCGGUGCGCGUCGCAUCUACGUUCCCCUGCUUUCGAGGUCGAUCCAGGCUCGCCGCACGGUCGCAUUCGUAGCGGCGCUUCUUAUCGUAAUCAGCGGCUUCGCAGCGUCCCGCAUGGGCGGUGAAUUCAUUCCAAGUCUCGACGAGGGAGACGUCGCGCUACAGGCGUUGCGCAUUCCGGGAACGAGCCUGACGCAAUCGCUUGCGAUGCAGCAGAUGCUUGAGAAGCG